UACGUAGGUGGCAAGCGUUGUCCGGAUUUACUGGGUUUAAAGGGAGCGCAGGCGGAUUGGUAAGUCAGUGGUGAAAUACCCGUGCUUAACAUGGGAACUGCCAUUGAUACUAUCAGUCUUGAAUGUUGUUGAGGUUUGCGGAAUGGGUCAUGUAGCGGUGAAAUGCAUAGAUAUGACCCGGAACACCUAUUGCGAAGGCAGCAGGCUAAACAAAUAUUGACGCUGAGGCUCGAAAGCGUGGGGAUCAAACAGG
rnacentral:rRNA from 1 species